rnacentral:tRNA from 1 species
GGCCUCAUGGCAGAGUGGCUAUGCACCGGAUUGCAAUCCGUUUACAGCGGUUCGAUUCCGCUUGAGGCCUCCA